AUUGAACGCUGGCGGCAGGCUUAACACAUGCAAGUCGAGCGAGCGGCGGACGGGUGAGUAAUGUCUGGUAAACUGCCUGAUGGAGGGGGAUAACUACUGGAAACGGUAGCUAAUACCGCAUACCAUCAGAUGUGCCCAGAUGGGAUUAGCUAGUAGGUGGUGUAAUGGCUCACCUAUGCGACGAUGCCUAGCUGGUCUGAGAGGAUGACCAGCCACACGGGAACUGAGACACGGUCCAGACUCCUACGGGAGGCAGGAGUGAGAAAUAUUGGACAAUGGGCGCAAGCCUGAUGCACACAUGCCGCGUGUGUGAAGAGGGCCUUCGGGUUGUGAAGCACUUUCAGCGAGGAGGCGUUACUCGCAGAAGAAGCACCGGCUAACUCCGUGCCAGCAGCCGCGGUAAUUC
rnacentral:rRNA from 1 species